GAUAUAUUCUGUAUAUAGCGUGUACAACGUAUGCCUGUAACAUGUUUGUUACUUUGUAAAUAACUAUCUUAUUUGCCUUCACCUACUGCGGCUAAUUUGGCUUUUGUUUUGAGGAACCGUUCGAAACUUAUUUUCCUGCAUAAAUAUAAUUUUUAAAUUUGUAUGUAUACUAUGCCGUGACCGCAUAGAGUUUAUAACCUCUACGAAGUCCUCGGAGGUAUUUUGGCAGGAACGGUGCGACGCGCCCAGACGACGAGCGAUGCCACUUCAUGCGAAACGGUAAUGCGGGAAAAGCCGAUUCAGCAGUUCGGUGCGCCGAAUUGAAUUCUUAAUUGACAGCUCCGCCAGGACGACGGGUCCUCGUCAACGUCCUGCGGGACCGAACACGGUGCUUAAAUCCCUGGGACACAAACUGGAGAGAAAAAUACGUACAAGGAGUAUGACGGGUGAACGCAAUUUUGAAAUAACGAAAAUCCGGAGGGCGGAGUAACGUAAUCAAGCUUAGAAGCACAACAAGACGGACGAAUGAGCUCGUUAGAAUUUUCUGUCACAAGGAGGUGACGCAUAUUGAUAUUAUACACGCGGUAAUUCGACGGAUACCGUAUGAGCGCAACAUGGCGCGGUGAUCGGGGCUCUCUGAUAUGCGGAGGAGGAGGUACGGUACACCGUGACAACCGGUUACGUAAACAGAUGCAAGGGAAGCCGGGUAUCUGCAACGACUGCUGCGGGGACACGAUUUAAUUCGAACGCCCGGCGCGGCUGAAGCCAUUCACAAAUCCAUGCAUUAAUAUUGUACGCGCAACGUUGUACCGGUGCAUUUUCCACGCUGUAGAUUGAGCUUCGUGCCUCCUGCGACUGCCUUUGUUAAUUCUUAUACAAUUUCUAAAUCUUUAGAUGCACAGUGCGGCUAGGAAUUGCUUCGCUCCGACUAUUUCAAAUUAAAUUAAAAAGCCGCUGCACGUGUAUUUUUGCUCAACAAGAUACCACGCGUGUCGUACAGUACGCGAACUAACCAGCUGUGUAUCUAUAAAAUGUUUACACGAACCGCAGCUUUAAUCGUAAUCCGUAACCCCGAGCACCGUUAAAAAACUUUUGUAUAUUGAUUCUGAUUGGCAGAAAAAAAAAGGACGGAGGCGUCUUAUGAUUAAUUAAAAGAAGGAGGAACUGAUAUAAGGCACGAUCGGAAUAGAUUAUGGUGAGGAAAAUUAUUAACCACAAUAUUUAUACAAAAAAUUACAAUAUAAUUCUGUUAUUGUUUUUCCAAUUAUUGCUAUGCUCGCGUACCGAGUUAAUUAAGAAAUAUUGACAAUAGUCCCAGUCUGAUAUCUCACUUAUAGUGUAUCACGCAUGCGGUGUGUACGUUCAAUCCACGGUGCAAGGCUUAACAACUCGCGCGUCAAUUUUUACGACCUUGAAUAGUGGCGCAGGAAAUAGGCAAAGGAAUUAACCCGAUUUGAAAAAGCUUUCUUUGCGGCGCUUUCAUAGAGCGAACAAAAGCGCGCGAACCGAUUGAACGAAUUGGGCGGAUGACAAGAGGCUCCUACUUAAAUGCGUUCCUCCUACGAAGUAGAAACUGGUGGGAGGAGCCAAUAUUGAUAAAAUACAACGCGGAAUAUUUUGAAAUCUGAUAUUUUAAUUCGUAAAUAGA